rnacentral:rRNA from 1 species
AUGAUUUAUAGCAGUGUUGGGAUAUCGCUGAAAUAUAUGUUCUCAUCGACGACACGUAGAGUUAUGCUCAUAAAGAACUGGAUAUUGAGCUAUUUUACUCUUCCUGCACUAGCUGAUGCAUCAAUAGGCUCUACUUUGUUUCAAUUAAAAACAAUCCUGUGUGCCGAGGGCCCUUGGAAGAGGCAGAGGGCUUUGCAUCUUCGCUUAGCUUUCCCAUUGAGUCGUUGUGCAUUUUAUUCUGCGCAAGGUUUUCUUCUCUUAAUGUACAAAUUGUGCUACAUUUCUCGAGCAUCUGCAUCAGCAAAGAAUAUAUAUACGUACUAG